UACGAAGGGUGCUAGCGUUGCUCGGAAUGACUGGGCGUAAAGGGCGCGUAGGCGGACGGCACAGUCAGGCGUGAAAUUCCUGGGCUCAACCUGGGGACUGCGUCUGAGACGUGUUGUCUUGAGUAUGGAAGAGGGUUGUGGAAUUUCCAGUGUAGAGGUGAAAUUCGUAGAUAUUGGAAAGAACACCGGUGGCGAAGGCGGCAACCUGUUCCAUUACUGACGCUGAGGCGCGAAAGCGUGAGGAGCAAACAGG
rnacentral:rRNA from 1 species